UAGGACGAACGCUGGCGGCGUGCCUAACACAUGCAAGUCGAGCGAUGAAAUCCUUCGGGAUGGAUUAGCGGCGGACGGGUGAGUAACACGUGGGUAACCUGCCUUGUAGAGGGGGAUAGCCUUCCGAAAGGAAGAUUAAUACCGCAUAACAUCUUUUUAUCGCAUGGUAGAAAGAUCAAAGGAGCAAUCCGCUACAAGAUGGACCCGCGGCGCAUUAGCUAGUUGGUGAGGUAACGGCUCACCAAGGCGACGAUGCGUAGCCGACCUGAGAGGGUGAUCGGCCACAUUGGAACUGAGACACGGUCCAGACUCCUACGGGAGGCAGCAGUGGGGAAUAUUGCGCAAUGGGGGAAACCCUGACGCAGCAACGCCGCGUGAAUGAAGAAGGCCUUAGGGUUGUAAAGUUCUGUUUACGGGGACGAUAAUGACGGUACCCGUGGAGGAAGCCACGGCUAACUACGUGCCAGCCGCCGC
rnacentral:rRNA from 1 species